rnacentral:misc_RNA from 1 species
GUAUCCGUAGGUGAACCUGCGGAUGGAUCAUUAACACAAAACAAAUCCCUAAAUAAGAGGGAAACCUCUUGUUUAUGACACCCCCUUUCUUAGCGAACUUGUCAACGGCGAGAGGGUUGCUGGAUUCCUAUUGGUUGGAAUCACUCUUAAGGCAAUCCCCAUGUCCGUUCGUUUUUUUCUUCUUCUUUUCACCAAUAUACCAAAAUCCCAAUCUCAACACCUAACAACUUGACUGAAAACAAAGAUUUUGUUGUGCUUUCUUUUUUCUUAUUCCAAAAAGGGUUAGAAACUCCAAAAGGAAAAAAAAAAGGCAAACACAAACAAAACCAAACUUUAACUAAUGUACAACUUUUAACAACGGAUAUCUUGGCUCUC